rnacentral:rRNA from 1 species
GACGAACGCUGGCGGCGUGCUUAACACAUGCAAGUCGAGCGGAGCGGCGAACGGGUGAGUAACGCGUGAGUAACUGCCCCCCUCUCUGGGAUAACAGUUGGAAACGGCUGCUAAUACCGGAUAGUGGGGGAUGACUCGCGUCCUAUCAGCUUGUCGGUGGGGUAGUGGCCUACCAAGGCGACGACGGGUAGCCGGCCUGAGCGGGCGACCGGACACAGUGGGCAGGGGUACGGCGCAAAGUCCUACGGGAGGCAGCAGUGGGGAAGAUUGCGCAAUGGGGGAGAGCCUGAUGCAGCAACGCGCGUGCGGGAUGACGGCCUUCGGGUUGUAAACCGCUUUCAGCUAUGACGCGGUAGUGGCAGAAGAAGCACCGGCUAACUACGUGCCAGCAGCCGCGGUAAUUC